GCCGGCCCGGUGUGGGGGCGGGGCGCCGGGAUGAUAUUAUCUUCGUUUUUGUGGGCGGGGACCCUCCCUCUUCCCUUCUCCCUCCUUCCUCCUCCAGUCUCCUUGGGAGAGGUUUAACCGUGUGAGGACUGGAGUUCUCCCUGCCGCCUCGACUCCUCGUCAGCUGGGCCGGCGCGGGCGCCACGCCUGGGGUCAGGCACGAAGCUUGGAAAAUCCUCCAUGACCGAGAUGAGGAAAAGCUGGUGUUGCCGGGAAGGGGCCCUUCGCCAGUCGCUUUUGUCGGUGCUGGCACAACUUGACCUGCGUUUCGCCCUUCCAUUUACCUCCACGAGACGAAGGAGAUCUGCCCUUGGUUAGAAAGUUCUUUCGAGAGAGAGUACAAGCAAGAGAGGGGCAGAGAGAGAAGGAGAGAAAGAGAAUUCCAAGCAGACUCCACACUGCCAGCACAGAGCUUGACACAGGGCUCAAUUCACAAACUGAGAUCAUGUCCUUAGCCAAAAUCAAGUCAGACACUUAACCAACUGAGCCACCCAGAUGCCCCAGAUGAUUUUUUCAAGCUUCAGCCUGUGCAUUUGCUCCUUCCUCCACUUGGCUCUUGUGGCAUGGAAGUUUCCAAGAAGAUGGCACUAUGGCCAAGAGCUAUAUCCAAAGUAUUUUAAAUAUCUUCAUAAAUUAAAGUACAAUUAUAGGUGUGGUAUUUUUGUACUGUCACAUUACAAAGCUGGAACUAAGUUUCCUAAAUUUCUCUUCUCUUUAUGGCACCAUUUUAGGAGUGGCCACAAAUGACAUCUGCAUGAUAUUUGGAAGACAGAGGCAAAAUAGUAUACACUGAAGGGUGGUAUAGGGUAGCCAUGAACUGUUUAAUUGCAAACUCUUUGUCAUUGAUAUGCUGUCUCACCUUGCUGGUAUAUGGCAGCAGCCAAGACUCUUCAGUAACUCUUUCAUUAUCUCUUAU